AUUCUAUACAAAAGAGAAAUUUUAUCUGCAAAGCAUCCCGCUGAGGGACUGGAAUUGCUGAAAAGGCUCCAUGCCCAGUGAGAUCAAGAUCAGAGCUGAUAUCAAGACCAGAGUUGAGACCAAGAGCUGGAUGCUUAACCGACUGGACUGAGCCAUCCAGAUCUAUUCCCUCUUCUAAAACAUUGGUGAUCCCUUGGGUCCACAGAGAGUUUAAUGCUGCCCACGCAUGAAAAGAAUGACCAAAAUAGAGAGAAGGAGGUGCUCAAACAAGAAGCUCUAAUGAUUCACCUUCCUAUUCUUUGACGAAGAAUACAGACUUUCUUGGAUGGCAAGCAUAUGAAUAUGUCUCCUGAACUUAAGCAAACCAGCUAAUCAGCUAAUACCCACUCAAGCAAAUUGCCAUAAGUCUCUCUAACAAGUAGUUUUUUUUUUUAAGUUCUUAUUUAAAUUUCAGUUAGUUAACAAACAGUGUAAUAUUAGUUUCAGGUGUACAAUAUAGUGAUUCCACCUAACAAGUAGUCUUUGGGGGGAGUUUAGUGAAGAAUAAAGAGAUAAAAUGAGGGGCACCUGGGUGGCUCAGCGGGUUAAGCAUCUGCCUUCAGCUCAGGUCAUGGUCCUGGGGUCCUGGGAUGAGUAGGGAACCCUGCUCAGUGGAGAGUCUGCUUCUCCCUAUCUGCCCCUCCCCUACAGUGCUCUCUCUUGUGUGA